GAUGAACGCUGGCGGCGUGCUUAACACAUGCAAGUCGAACGGAAAGGCCCAAGCUUGCUUGGGUACUCGAGUGGCGAACGGGUGAGUAACACGUGGGUGAUCUGCCCUGCACUUCGGGAUAAGCCUGGGAAACUGGGUCUAAUACCGGAUAGGACGAUGGUUUGGAUGCCAUUGUGGAAAGUUUUUUCGGUGUGGGAUGAACUCGCGGCCUAUCAGCUUGUUGGUGGGGUAAUGGCCUACCAAGGCGUCGACGGGUAGCCGGCCUGAGAGGGUGUACGGCCACAUUGGGACUGAGAUACGGCCCAGACUCCUACGGGAGGCAGCAGUGGGGAAUAUUGCACAAUGGGCGCAAGCCUGAUGCAGCGACGCCGCGUGGGGGAUGACGGCCUUCGGGUUGUAAACUCCUUUCGCUAGGGACGAAGCGUUUUUGUGACGGUACCUGGAGAAGAAGCACCGGCUAACUACGUG
rnacentral:rRNA from 1 species